AACAUAGCCUUUAGCCAAACAAGUAUUAAAGGUCCCGCCUGCCCAGUGAUAAUUUUAACGGCCGCGGUAUUCUAACCGUGCAAAGGUAGCGUAAUCACUUGUCUUCUAAAUAAAGACCAGUAUGAACGGCUAAAUGAGGACAAACCUGUCUCUUACAACUAAUCAGUGAAAUUAAUCUUCCAGUACAAAAGCUGGAAUAUCCCCAUAAGACGAGAAGACCCUGUGGAGCUUAAAACUAACCGGUAAUAUACUAAACUACCGCGCCAAUUUUUAGUUGGGGCAACUUUGGAAAAAAAUAAAACUUCCAAGCACAGAAUCACAAAUUCAACAAAGGCCAACAAGCCAAAUACAUGACCCAGUAAAACUGAUCAACGAACCAAGUUACCCCAGGGAUAACAGCGCUAUCUUCUUCAAGAGUUCAUAUCGACAAGAAGGUUUACGACCUCGAUGUUGGAUCAGGACAUCCAAAUGGUGCAGCCGCUAUUAAAGGUUCGUUUGUUCAACGAUUAAUAGUCCUACGUGAUCUGAGUUCAGACCGGAGCAAUCC
rnacentral:rRNA from 1 species